GAAGGAUGCCAAUGCAGUAGUAAUGCACCUUGCUUCUCUUUGUGGCUACCAACAUUUUGUUGUUGUUGUUGUUGGGAUCUAUUACAUACUUUGAAAAAUUUCCUCUGAAAACAAACUUGACAGUACUCUGAGGCCAAUGUAAUGAGACAGACAUCAAGACUUCAUUUGAAAUUGAUCAUGACCACCAACAGAAGGAAUCAAUAACAAUGGUGGCACCAGUCCAAGGUUGAAUAGGCAGUUGCUGGGCAGAUGUCCUCACAGAAGUAUUCUUUCGGUCUCACUCAUUUUGCUGCUCAGCAGAAGGAUUGUAAAAAUGAAAAAUAAAAAAAAGGCUUUUACAUCAAAUAUUGAUAACGAUAAUAAUGAUUAACACAUGUGGAGCACUUACCAUCUCUCAAGCACUGCUCUAGAGCUUUCCAUGAAAGAAUCCCUCUAAUCUUCAGAACAAUCCUGUGAGAACUGGCUGAAGUUUACUUUUUGGUACUCCAGAGACCUAGCUUCUUCUUGCCUUCUUCCAAUGUGGUCUAUUUAAUCUCCUGUCGUGUGGGAAAUUAUGUUCAAAAUCUCCGUGAUCCUCUGUCCAUAGAGCUGCUGCCAAAUCAACACCUCGAUAUGUUUGUUCUUGGAGAGAAAUGAGCUAAGGAGGAAGACCGUCUAAAAAUACCACUGGACAAUUUGUACUCACUGGAGUGGUCUCUAUGGGGCAAAAGGUUUUUAGAGUGGCUCGUGGAUUUUCUGGCAAGUGGCAAACCAUACAAGAGCUACGUCAGGCCAGGAAGACAGGUACAGCCCUGUCGGUGUCAAAGAAGAACACCGGUAGCAGAAGAGCUAAGAGUGAAUGAAAAUGGAAUUAUCUUUACUUCUAGGACUUGUCUAUUGAGAAACAGCAGCGCUGGCAACCAUUUACUACCAACAAGAGGCAGUUGCAAGAGAAGAAUAUAAAAUAUGCUCUGCUCAACCCCACAAAA
rnacentral:lncRNA from 1 species